UACGGAGGAUGCAAGCGUUAUCCGGAUUUAUUGGGUUUAAAGGGUGCGUAGGCUGUGAGGUAAGUCAGCGGUGAAAUGCCCCCGCUCAACGGGGUGAAGUGCCAUUGAUACUGCCUUGCUGGAAUGCGGAUGCCGUGGGAGGAAUGUGUGGUGUAGCGGUGAAAUGCAUAGAUAUCACACAGAACACCGAUUGCGAAGGCAUCUCACGAAUCCGCGAUUGACGCUGAUGCACGAAAGCGUGGGUAUCAAACAGG
rnacentral:rRNA from 1 species